rnacentral:misc_RNA from 1 species
GAUGAAGAACGCAGUGAAAUGCGAUACGUAAUGUGAAUUGCAGAAUUCAGUGAAUCAUCGAAUCUUUGAACGCAUAUUGCGCUCUCUGGUAUUCCGGAGAGCAUGCUUGUUUGAGUAUCAGUAAACACCUCAACUCCCCUUUCUUUUUUGAAAUGGGAGCUGGACUUGAGUGAUCCCAACGCUUUUCUCACCGAAAAGUGGCGGGUUACUUGAAAUGCAGGUGCAGCUGGACUUUUCUCUGAGCUAAAAGCAUAUCUAUUUAGUCUGCCUAAAAACAGAUUAUUACCUUUGCUGCAGCUAACAUAAAGGAGAUUAGUUCUUGUGCUGACUGAUGCAGGAUUCACAGAGACAGCUUCGGCUGGCCUUUGUAAACUCGAUCUCAAAUCAAGUAAGACUACCCGCUGAACUUAAGCAUAUCAAUAAGCGGAGGA